UGGGGAAUAUUGCACAAUGGGCGCAAGCCUGAUGCAGCCAUGCCGCGUGUAUGAAGAAGGCCUUCGGGUUGUAAAGUACUUUCAGCGGGGAGGAAGGGAGUAAAGUUAAUACCUUUGCUCAUUGACGUUACCCGCAGAAGAAGCACCGGCUAACUCCGUGCCAGCAGCCGCGGUAAUACGGAGGGUGCAAGCGUUAAUCGGAAUUACUGGGCGUAAAGCGCACGAAGGCGGUUUGUUAAGUCAGAUGUGAAAUCCUCGGGCUCAACCUGGGAACUGCAUCUGAUACUGGCAAGCUUGAGUCUCGUAGAGGGGGGUAGAAUUCCAGGUGUAGCGGUGAAAUGCGUAGAGAUCUGGAGGAAUACCGGUGGCGAAGGCGGCCCCCUGGACGAAGACUGACGCUCAGGUGCGAAAGCGUGGGGAGCAAACAGG
rnacentral:rRNA from 1 species